rnacentral:rRNA from 1 species
UACGUAGGGUGCGAGCGUUGUCCGGAAUUAUUGGGCGUAAAGAGCUCGUAGGCGGUCUGUCGCGUCGGAUGUGAAAAUCCAGGGCUCAACCCUGGACCUGCAUUCGAUACGGGCAGACUAGAGUUCGGUAGGGGAGACUGGAAUUCCCGGUGUAGCGGUGAAAUGCGCAGAUAUCGGGAGGAACACCAGCGGCGAAGGCGGCACUCUGGGCUGGAACUGACGCUGAGGAGCGAAAGCGUGGGUAGCAAACAGG